UCAGAGUCACAGUGACUGAACUGAUACUGCAGCUGCUCACACACUUUCACACACACUCAACAGUGCAGAAACACAAAUAUGAUCUUAAUAUCAGCUUUGUUGAGCUUCAUCAGUAUUUCUUAAGAUAAUUAGAAAAUCUUUUGAUGUUAUCAUCAUUUUUAGAUCAUUUAUGGUUUAUUUAUCCUCAUUUCCACUCUCUCAAUAUUUUAAAGUCAUUGAUAUUUUUGAUCAUGUACUUUUAUUAUUUUUUCUUCCUAAUCUUAGUUAUACAGUAAAGAGCUGAGGAACUGAAGCUGUCGAUCACACAGCUUAUGGUGAAAGCAUUUCUUGAGUGCAGAAAUGUUGUUUCAAUGACGAGAUCACUGCAUUCACUCCAUCAACAGACUGUCUGUCAUCUGCUCAGUUUCUCAUCACUGCAACCUUCCCUGUGAUGGAAUAGAUCUAAAUAUAAGGCAAUAAUCAACACUUUUCACCAUUCGUUAAUUUAGACAGCUGUAAUAGUAAAAAUGUAGUGAUAGUAUUCGAGAAGUUUCCAUAUGAAACAAUCAGAGCACUAAAAUCAGGGAGGAAAUAGACAUUUAUUUCUAAAUUUUGACAAUUAUUUGAUGUAAAAAUCAUAUUAACAUUAUAAGUGCAUCUCAGGAAACAUUAUAAAAUAAUAAUAAAUCAGUUGAUGAAGCGA